rnacentral:lncRNA from 1 species
UUCGUUGCAAAUUUACGCUCUCGUGGCAUAAUAGAACAAUAUAAUUAGCUUUUACUCUUUGUUCGAUUGAAUGAGAAAAAGUACUCGUUGCAAAUUUAUACUAUUAGGGUGAACUUAGUCGUCUAAUGUUGUUCCGGUUUAGGUUCUUAUGAACGUUUACAUUGAUUCGUACAAAAUUUACACUAUAGGCGCAUAAUAGAACAAUAUAACUAGGUUUUACACGUUGUUCGACUGAAUGAGAAAAAGUGCUCGUUGCAAAGUUAUACUGUUAGGGCGCAACAGAGUAGUCUAAUAUUGUUCCGGUUUUGGUUCUUUUGAACGUUGACAUCGAUUCGUUCCAAAUUUACACUCUCGGGGCAUAAUAGAGCAAUAUAAUUAGGUUUUACACGUUGUUCGAUUGAAUGAGAAAAAGUACUCGUUGCAAAGUUAUACUGUUAGGGCGCAACAGAGUAGUUUAAUGUUGUUCCGGCUUUGGUUUUUGUGAACGUCGACAUCGAUUCGUUGCAAAUUUACACUCUCGGGGCAUAAUAGAACAAUAUAAUUAGCUUUUACUCUUUGUUCGAUAGAAUGAGAAAUAGCACUCGUUGCCAAUUUAUACUGUU